rnacentral:rRNA from 1 species
GUCACUACAGGAUGGGCCCGCGGCGCAUUAGCUACUUGGUGAGGUAACGGCUCACCAAGGCGACGAUGCGUAUCCGACCUGAGAGGGUGAUCGGCCACACUGGGACUGAGACACGGCCCAGACUCCUACGGGAGGCAGCAGUAGGGAAUCUUCCACAAUGGACGAAAGUCUGAUGGAGCAACGCCGCGUGAGCGAAGAAGGUUUUCGGAUCGUAAAACUCUGUUGUGAGGGAAGAACAAGUACGAGAGUAACUGCUCGUACCUUGACGGUACACUCAUUAGAAAGCCACGGCUAACUACGUGCCAGCAGCCGCGGUAAU